UUCGAGAUGAAAAUGAUAAGAAACAAAGAAUGAGAAAGAAAGAAGAAGAAGAUUAUUUAUCAUGGUCAUUCCAUCUCUUUCUCUCUCUCUCUCUAUUUAUUC
rnacentral:ribozyme from 14 species